GAAAGAGGCCAGAAGCAACAAGAACUGCUAAUUCUUACCCCCGCGGUUAAACUCCGCGGCUCUAUCG
rnacentral:tRNA from 1 species